UGGUGAAAUAGCUUGUGUA
rnacentral:piRNA from 1 species